GGAAUGCUAAUACCUGAUAAGCCUACGCCCUCCUCGGGAGGAAGUAGGAAAAGGUGGGGACCUUCGGGCCUGCCGUUGUUGGAUGAGUCCGCGGCCCAUUAGCUAGUUGGUAGGGGUAAUGGCCCUACCAAGGCUACGAUGGGUAGCUGGUCUGAGAGGAUGAUCAGCCACACUGGAACUGAGACACGGUCCAG
rnacentral:rRNA from 1 species